rnacentral:rRNA from 1 species
GACCGAGGCCCCAAGCGUUAGGCGGAAUCACUGGGCUUAAAGCGUGUGUAGGCGGAUCGUUAAGUGUCUUGUGAAAUCCCACGGCUCACCCGUGGAACUGCUGGGCAUACUGGCGAUCUUGGGCCAACUAGGGGCAGCCGGAACAAGCGGUGGAGCGGUGAAAUGCGUAGAUAUCGCUUGGAACGCCGAAGGUGAAAACAGGCUGCUGGGGUUGUGCCGACGCUGAGACACGAAAGCCAGGGGAGCAAACGGG